AGCGGCGGAUGGGUGAGUAACACGUGGGGAACCUGCCCCUAAGUCUGGGAUACCAUUUGGAAACAGGUGCUAAUACCGGAUAAUAAAGCAGAUCGCAUGAUCAGCUUUUGAAAGGCGGCGUAAGCUGUCGCUAAGGGAUGGCCCCGCGGUGCAUUAGCUAGUUGGUAAGGUAACGGCUUACCAAGGCGACGAUGCAUAGCCGAGUUGAGAGACAGAUCGGCCACAUUGGGACUGAGACACGGCCCAAACUCCUACGGGAGGCAGCAGUAGGGAAUCUUCCACAAUGGACGCAAGUCUGAUGGAGCAGCGCCGCGUGAGUGAAGAAGGUUUUCGGAUCGUAAAGCUCUGUUGUUGGUGAAGAAGGAUAGAGGUAGUAACUGGCCUUUAUUUGACGGUAAUCAACCAGAAAGUCACGGCUAACUACGUGCCAGCAGCCGCGGUAAUACGUAGGUGGCAAGCGUUGUCCGGAUUUAUUGGGCGUAAAGCGAGCGCAGGCGGAAAAAUAAGUCUAAUGUGAAAGCCCUCGGCUUAACCGAGGAACUGCAUCGGAAACUGUUUUUCUUGAGUGCAGAAGAGGAGAGUGGAACUCCAUGUGUAGCGGUGGAAUGCGUAGAUAUAUGGAAGAACACCAGUGGCGAAGGCGGCUCUCUGGUCUGCAACUGACGCUGAGGCUCGAAAGCAUGGGUAGCGAACAGGAUUAGAUACCCUGGUAGUCCAUGCUGUAAACGAUGAGUGCUAAGUGU
rnacentral:rRNA from 1 species